GUCCCCAUCGUCUAGUCAGGUCUAGGACACCGCUCUUUCAAGGCGGCAACACGGGUUCAAAUCCCGUUGGGGACGCCA
rnacentral:tRNA from 1 species